GGUUUAGCUCAGUCGGUAGAGCACUGGUCUCCAAAACCAGGUGUCGGGGGUUCGAGCCCUCCA
rnacentral:tRNA from 1 species